rnacentral:rRNA from 1 species
UACGGGGGGGGCUAGCGUUGUUCGGAAUUACUGGGCGUAAAGGGCGCGUAGGCGGUCUGCUAAGUUGGAUGUGAAAACUCUGGGCUUAACCCAGAGCCUGCAUUCAAUACUGACAGGCUAGAGUUCUGGAGGGGAUAGCGGAAUUCCUGGUGUAGCGGUGAAAUGCGUAGAUAUCGGGAGGAACAUCAGUGGCGAAGGCGGCCCUCUGGUCCAGUACUGACACUCAAGUGCGAAAGCGUGGGGAGCAAACAGG